GCGGGGCAACCUGGCGGCGAGUGGCGAACGGGUGAGUAAUAUAUCGGAACGUACCCUGGAGUGGGGGAUAACGUAGCGAAAGUUACGCUAAUACCGCAUACGAUCUAAGGAUGAAAGUGGGGGCUUCGCAAGAACCUCAUGCUCCUGGAGCGGCCGAUAUCUGAUUAGCUAGUUGGUGGGGUAAAGGCUCACCAAGGCUUCGAUCAGUAGCUGGUCUGAGAGGACGACCAGCCACACUGGAACUGAGACACGGUCCAGACUCCUACGGGAGGCAGCAGUGGGGAAUUUUGGACAAUGGGCGCAAGCCUGAUCCAGCAAUGCCGCGUGAGUGAAGAAGGCCUUCGGGUUGUAAAGCUCUUUUGUCAGGGAAGAAACGGUGAGGGCUAAUAUCCUUUGCUAAUGACGGUACCUGAAGAAUAAGCACCGGCUAACUACGUGCCAGCAGCCGCGGUAAUACGUAGGGUGCAAGCGUUAAUCGGAAUUACUGGGCGUAAAGCGUGCGCAGGCGGUUUUGUAAGUUUGUCGUGAAAGCCCCGGGCUCAACCUGGGAAUUGCGAUGAAGACUGCAAGGCUUGAAUCUGGCAGAGGGGGGUAGAAUUCCACGUGUAGCAGUGAAAUGCGUAGAGAUGUGGAGGAACACCGAUGGCGAAG
rnacentral:rRNA from 1 species